rnacentral:lncRNA from 1 species
CAGAAGAACAACAGAUUGAAUCCUACUGAUAUGCAUAACGUGUCUCUUUCUCUUACCAGAAGACGGUAUGUUCUGCCUCCAUUUGAGGCAUGGUGUGACUGGCAGCUGACAUCCUCACCCUGCUCAUGUGCAGCCCGGCCUCUAUUGCCAUGUUUCUUUCAGUCUUUGCCCUGAGAAGCUUAGUGUUGGAUCUGAGGUGGCAGAUAGAGAAACAAGAUCUUUUCAACUUGUGAGACAUCUUUGUCUGAGAUAGUUCCAACUUAGGGUACAUUCAUUGCAGACUCUGGAAGAAUCCUCGGUGCUGAUCCCAACAUGAGAUCUGCUUUGUAAACUUCAAGUACAGUUCAGCAAAGCACCUUUCACUAGAUCUUAAAGAACCAUCCAAGCAUACUGGCUUAAUGUAUGGUGGCCUGAGUUGAAGUUCAACAUUAAAAUAUUGAUACGCUAAUGUUUGCUUUCUGUGAGCUUAUUUAUCAAGUUCUUUCCUGGAGACCAGGUCCUAAACAAACACAGGAUGGCUCCCUUCUUGACAGGAGGGUGAUUACAGACAGCAUCAAACUAAGUUUCCCUCACUGUGUCCCUUCCAUGAAACACUUUGGCCAAACAGCAGAAGCAGGAUCGCAGUUAUCUCACUCACGAACUCCUUUUCCUCUCAUCUUAGUUUUUAUGGCUUAAGGGAGAUUUUCUGGUUUUUGGGGUUUUUUUUUUUCAGGAACAGUGUUAGCUUUUCUUUGAUACUAUCUCUUGAUCUUGGGGAUACCGGAAUGAUAUGGGGAUCUUGGUUUUAUCAGUUGGAAAAGCUGGCCUUGCUUAGGUUCCUAGGGCUGGCUGGCUGUCUAUUACAAAUGAUCACUAGCUAAACCUCAGGGCUUCUCAGCUGAUGCAGUCUCAGCUCUUUUCUGUGUGUCAGUCCUCAUGGCCAACUAAUAGCAUCUCUACUCCAGCUACCCUGCUGUGCUACUGCACUGCUGCUGCUUUCACUGCUCCUUUUAGGGGGUGCCAUAGAGAAUGCAUCCAAGCGUUACACUUCUCUUUUGACUCUCAGCAGCAUCAAUAUUUCC